rnacentral:lncRNA from 1 species
UUUAAGGGUCUUAAAAACCCUGCAACUCUUCCAAUCCCAAAACCAACAUCUGCCCUCACCAUCUCCUGACAUGACAAAACGUCCGUCUGGUGAGAAGUUAACCUGACAAGCAUAUCCAGCUACAAUAUGCCCUGCAAAUCUCUUCUUCUUAUUAAGCUGAAACCUCUCCCUUGUACUGUAAAUAAGAAUCUGAUUAUCCAAACUCUGUGCAGCAAGCCAAUUAGAAUUUGGGUGCAAGGCAAUGGAUGGCAUUGAAUGCAUAUGCGGUUCGCUUAUAUACUUUAUAACAACUGGAAUCCCAAACUCCCAAACACGCAGUGACUUAUCAUCACUCGAAGUAACAAACCUCCUAUUAUUAUCCACAAACGUGAUUGUGUUCACUGCCCCUAAAUGCUGAUCAUAUUCCUGAGUAAUCUGCCCAGUAUUCAUAUCCCACUGCACAAUUUUCUUAUCACUCAUCCCAGCCAAAAGCACAUUCUGCUUAUCCUCAUCUGGAUUGAGCCUCACCACAUAUGGUAUCUUCCCUGUGGAAAAGGUUGAUAUCACCUGCCCAGUUUCCGUAUCCCAGUACUUUAUAUUCUUAUCAUAGCUGGCAGUCAAAAACUUGCUUCCAUCAUUACUAAACCAUAUAUCCCUGACAGCCUUUGAGUGCCCCAUGUAAGUCCUCAUGCAUUUCCCUGAAUUAUACACAUCCCAUAUCUUCACCUUUGUAUCCAUCCCAGCAGACAGCAACAAAUGCCCAUGUUUUGGGAAAAACCUAAUAGCAGAAACCCCUUUAGUAUGC